UAAGAAGUGGUGUAUAUGGGUGCACAAGGGAUUUUGAUCUCCUAAGAAUGGGUUCAAAUCCUUUCUUCUUAA
rnacentral:tRNA from 1 species